rnacentral:rRNA from 1 species
CGCCGUCGAGCCGUUGAAACUGGCGUUCUUGAGUGGGCGAGAAGUAUGCGGAAUGCGUGGUGUAGCGGUGAAAUGCAUAGAUAUCACGCAGAACUCCGAUUGCGAAGGCAGCAUACCGGCGCCCUACUGACGCUGAGGCACGAAAGCGUGGGUAUCGAACAGGAUUAGAUACCCUGGUAGUCCACGCAGUAAACGAUGAAUGCUAACUGUCCGGUGCGAGUGAGCGCUGGGCGGUACAGCGAAAGCGUUAAGCAUUCCACCUGGGGAGUACGCCGGCAACGGUGAAACUCAAAGGAAUUGACGGGGGCCCGCACAAGCGGAGGAACAUGUGGUUUAAUUCGAUGAUACGCGAGGAACCUUACCCGGGCUCAAACGCAGGCUGACGGGUCCCGAAAGGGGCCUUUCUUCGGACAUUCUGCGAGGUGCUGCAUGGUUGUCGUCAGCUCGUGCCGUGAGGUGUCGGCUUAAGUGCCAUAACGAGCGCAACCCCUGUCCACAGUUGCCAGCAGGUAAAGCUGGGGACUCUGUGGAGACUGCCGGCGCAAGCUGCGAGGAAGGCGGGGAUGACGUCAAAUCAGCACGGCCCUUACGUCCGGGGCGACACACGUGUUACAAUGGCAGGUACAGCGGGAUGCCACGGGGCGACCCGGCGCUGAACCCGAAAACCUGUCUCAGUUCGGAUUGGAGUCUGCAACCCGACUCCAUGAAGCUGGAUUCGCUAGUAAUCGCGCAUCAGCCACGGCGCGGUGAAUACGUUCCCGGGCCUUGUACACACCGCCCGUCAAGCCAUGGAAGCCGGGGGUACCUGAAGUGCGUGACCGCGAGGAGCGCCCUAGGGUAAAACCGGUGACUGGGGCUAAGUCGUAACAAGGUAACCGUAA